AGAUUUCUCAAGAUCAUCAGUUUGGACAGAAUUCAUUUGAAGAAUUAAUAGCACUAGCAGGUUCCAAUAAAGGCUGGAACAGAACAGACAGAAAAGAAUCUGUCAGAAGAAAUUCAACUACUGUUCGUGC